GGAGGAUGCAAGCGUUAUCCGGAUUUAUUGGGUUUAAAGGGUGCGUAGGCGGACUAAUAAGUCAGUGGUGAAAUCUUGCGGCUCAACCGUAAUAUUGCCAUUGAUACUGUUAGUCUUGAAUGCAGUUGAGGUAGGCGGAAUGUGUAAUGUAGCGGUGAAAUGCUUAGAUAUUACACAGAACACCGAUUGCGAAGGCAGCUUGCUAAACUGUGAUUGACGCUGAUGCACGAAAGCGUGGGGAUCAAACAGGAUUAGAUACCCUGGUAGUCCACGCUGUAAACGAUGAUUACUCGUUGUUUGCGAUAUAUUGCAAGCGACUGAGCGAAAGCAUUAAGUAAUCCACCUGGGGAGUACGUUCGCAAGAAUG
rnacentral:rRNA from 1 species